AAUCUUCCGGUGAAAAGUGAGGGAAGUUCAACAUGUGUGCCUCGUCUUUCUCAUACCGCAGACGUUUUGCAACUUUUUGAACCGACUUUGAACAUCAAUCAGAAGACUUUCAUACAGUUCAGAUGUUUUCCUUUUUCGUAGAGAUUGCUACUUUUCAGGCAUCUAUGACUGUGUUUUUGCAAGAAGAAAAAGAAAAAUAUUGAAGCAAGAUGUCAAGUAUGAAGUAACAGAUAAAGAUAAAAUAGAAACCUACUGAAAAGUGAGGAGAUCCAACACAAAAUGUCUGAGGAACAGGAUGGGAUCUUAUCAGGUGGGAGCUUACCUCGGCUCCAAACUUCGAACUCUUCUACAGUGAGUUUGGAAAGUGACAGAUCCAAGGAUGGACCUUUAAACUUUCACAGUGAAGAUCAAAGGUAAGACACUUUGGUAA